GUCAGGCACUGUGACAGGCACAGUACGUCAUUUAAUCUCCACCAUAACAUUGUGGGACAGGCAUCAACAGGCCCUGAUUUUACAGGUGGAGAAAGGAGGCCUAUCUAAUGCCACAUGAAUGCCUCACCCUUUCUUCAUGGUCUUGCUCUGGAAUGAUCUUUGUUAAACUGCAGACAGAAAGACCAGUCCUCAGGGGCGCAAGCCAGCAGGAGCGACAAACACAAAGGAUGCAACGACUCCAAAGUCUGCAAAUUUGAGGAAGAACUUUGGUCCAGGUCAGGUUUAGGAGAGAGAAGUGACAACUGCCCGUACCAGAUAUGUGCCCUGGGCGCUGCUGCCCGGUGCCAGCAUCCACGAGGAGAUGUAGAAAAUGAGGCUCAGAGACUGUAAGUGACUUGUCAAGAAAAUUGCUGGUGGAACCAAAAAUAGAAGCCAGCUCAGCAGAGUGUUUGUCACAUCUGUCAUGACUCUUGUCUACAUUGCAAAUGCCAUCAAAUGUAAGCUCGGUGCUUUACAAAUAAGCAUCUAUCCAUGCUGUGUUAUUUAGGGGUACAAGAUAUUUGCCGUGAAGAUGCCAAAAUUCUGUAAUAACUAUGAUACAUCCAGAUGAUGGAGUACAAUGCACUCAUAAAAAAGAAUAAGAGAGAAUUCUGUGUACUGAUAUGGAAAGAUCUCUGGUAUAUAUUGAAAAGAAAAACAAGUGAGGUGAAGAAUAGUAUAUGGAAUAUGCCACCUUAGUUUAUGAAGGGAAAAAUGAGAAUAUUCAUGACUGUAUUAGAAAAAAAAAUACUUGGAGGAUAAACAAGAGCCUAAUAAAAACGACUCCCUGACAGUGUCUAAGAGGGAAACAGGGUAGCAGGGACAAGACUUUGCCGCUGUAUUGAAAAUGAAACAAAGGCUCUGAAAACCGACAGCUGGUAGCAACCCACAGUGUUCCCUAUAAAUGUAAACAAUUUUGCAGAAUUUCAACAUCAGAUGAGGUCACACCAUGACUGUGAUAAAAUCAAGCCCAAACAACACUACUCUGUAAUCAUGUCUGAACAGAGACAAAAUCAAGGGCAACCACCAAAGUGACAAAAUAUCCUUCUUUCUCUGAUAACAUCAAUGACUACUUCUCUACCAUGACAAUUCUGGCUUAACUUUGUUCCUCUUGCCUCCUAGAUAAUUAAUAUUUUCAAUCACUGAAUCACCCUCACCAUCUUAUAACAACUAAUUGGUCCAACGGUCAAGUUUAAAUAUCCAAACUAAUGUACCGAGAUAUGCUGAAAUUAUAAAUAUCCAAGAAUACAUGAGAAACUCAUAAAAGAGAAAACAAGUUAUUAUUCCAAUUUGAUUUUAUUAUUUUCUAAUAUAAUGAGCCAUAUAAUUGUAUUAUUGAUGAACACGAAAAAACUAAUUGAAUGCAAGACCAAUUCAGAAUUGGGACAAGAAAGAGGUGCCGAAAUGGAGAUGAGGUGGACAAGACUUAUUUAUGUACUGAAGUCGGCUCAAGGCUUGAAGUUUUCUCCAGUUAGAAAUAAAAGGUCUUUGUCUUCAGCCAACAUGAAUAAUUUCAAAAUAAGACUUUGACCUUCUUGCCAGGUUCUUUUAACUUCAUUUCUAUAAUGAGGAGAUUAGCAUUUUUCAUUUGCGCCCUGUCUCCGCACAUCAACCGUGUACCAGGCAAGAGGGAUUCAGCAACGAAUAAGAUUUAGUCCCAGCUAUCAAGAAGUUUGCUUCCUAAGGGGCAAGCCUGAACCACUCCUCCUCCUCAGUUCUACUCAGACACCUGUUACCCAGGGAAGCAGCUGCGAGGUCAUUGAUCAAUGUCCGUCUUCUGUCUCCACGCACGACUGACUGCUCCUGGCGCACGGGGACUGUGACAUCUCACUCACAGUACAUGCCUAGUGUCCAGCAGAGCGUGUGAUACAAGUAGACACUUGCACCGGGUUCAACGGUGUCCCCAACAAUCCACAUCCACCAGGACCCCCAGACUGUCACCUUACUUGAAAAUAGUGUCUUUGCACAUUUAAUUACUUAAGAUGGGGUUGCAUUGGACUAGUGAGCCUUAAAUCCAGUACGACUGGUGUCCUUGUAAGAGAAGACGACUCAGAAGGCACACGCAUGGAGGCGCAUGCCCUGUGACGGCAGAGGCAGGGCUGGGAGUGGCACAGCUGGAAGCCAAGGAAGGCCAAGUAUUCCCAGCAACAGCCAGAAGAGAGGAAAGAAAAGGAAGGAUCUGCAAUGGCUUUCUCAAGUUUUUCAAGGUUUUUGUUAUUUAUUUUUUUUAUUUUUUGGAAAACAUAAGAGUCCAUGUCUCUAAACAACUUGGGAGGCACACGGCGCAGUGUUUACAGAACAAGACUUCAGUCACACUGGGUUUGAGUCCUGCUCCUACCACUUACCGCAUGGGGAGCCUCAGGCCAGCAGGUUGUGAUCACUUUCUGCAACUGUAAAAGGUGGAAGGUAAUAGCAACUACCCUCCACUGCGAAGAGGAUUUAAUGAGACUAUGCAGGUAAAGUAUAAACCUGCACUAUUGAAUAAAGUAGCCAUGAGGCCACCCACACUGCUCUUGAGCACUUGGAAUAUGGCUCUUCCAAAUUGGGAUGUGCUGACAGUGCUAGAGCCUUUGGGAGAAGCAAAAGAUCAACCCCCUGAAAGGCUCCAGUCAAAGAAAACAAAACACCUGUGAUAUAAAAACAGUAAUGAGCUGCUCCGGGGCCUCCGGAAAGAGAGAGGCCAACGAGAGCUAGAAUCACAAGGAAAAGCUUCUCGAAAGAGGCAGGAGUUGAGUCAUGAGAAGUAUCCAACACAAAAAGCGGAAAUAACUACUGAUGAUAGAAUGUGACUCAAUUAUGGAACAUUAUAAAUUUGAGAAUAUGGAAUAAACAAUAAGGCAUAGUAAUAAGAAGUUUUUGAACAGAUCACUGGAGGCCGCCCACAUAAUAUUUGGCCUCCACGUCUUGGAAUGAUUGCCCUCUUUGCUGAGAGCUCCUGCCAGCCAAAGGGGAGUCCCCGCAUGCUGGUUACAAAAAAGACCAUUUUCCACUCUUACUUGAAGAUCUGAUUUCGCACGUAUUCCCUAUGCCAGGCCCUACAUGAGGCAUCCACAUGGGGCAUCUCAUGGAAUGUCCAUGAUGUAGAUAUACUAGCCCCAAGAGAACUGGAGCUAGUAGGAUCUACCUCUCGGGGUAUGUAGCAAGGGGCAGAAACUGAGGGCAGGGGACUGUGAAGUUCUCUCUUGACGCCAAGCCCAUCCAUGUUCCUUCUCCACACAUUAAAGAAAAACUGAAAGAGUGAUGCAGACUUCUGUCUCUGCAGAGGAGGGUGUAUGAUCUAGUAGCAGAAGGGGACCCAUUUGAUACAAAGUGGUGGAGAAAACAAACACAGUUAAGACUGUAAGAGACACACUGGGAGUGGGGGCCAUUGAAGAAAGGAGAAAUUGCAUCUGCCUGGAGCCACCAGAAGAGAUUUCAAGGAGAAGGUGAAGUUUGAACUACACUUAAUAUAUUCUGACAGAGGAGGAGAUGGGGAGGCAUUGCAGAGGUUAGAGGAGCAGGAGGUCAGAUCAAGCGGGGGAGUUCCUGAACUGCAAAUAGUAGACUGAGGUCAGAACAUGAGUUAUGAACCUUGGAGGGGUGGGACUUUUUGUUGUGGUAAGCUGAACAUGUGUUGUACUGGUUGAUUCUGCUAGUGAAGAAGAGUUUUCUAAAAACUCUUUCUCAAGGAAAGCAGUGACGUAAGAACUAUGCUUUGGGAAGCUUAAUCUAGAGCUAUGUAUAGGAAGGAGUUGGGGUGGGAGAAGGGAGGCUGGAAAACUCAUCAGUUGGGCCUGUUAAGGGUCUGAUAAGGAUGGCAGAGAGGGACGGAGAGAUGGUGGCUGGACAAUGGAUGAGGAUCUCACCACCACUGUCUGUCUUUACCGAUCUUUCCAGCACAUAGCACAUUGCCUGGCACUAAACUGGUUCUCAAUGCAGAAGGAUGGAAGCCAGGAAGGAAAAGAGUGAGAAAGUGAGUGAAGGAAGGAGGGAAGAAGAAAAGAAGAAGGAAGGUGAGAAAAUAUUAGAGACAUUGCCCAUUAGGACUUUCGGAACUUGUGCUGAAUAUUCACAACUUGUAAAUGUCAAUUAAAAAAAAAAGUGCAUGUAAAAACUGAUAUAAAU